rnacentral:misc_RNA from 1 species
ACCUACUGUUUAAUUUUGAGGGUUCGUUUUUACGAAUACUCAAAAUUAGCACUUUUAGCAACAAAAUAAACUGAACGCAUGUGAAGUUUGUUUGUUGGCGCUGUGCGUUAGCACUUUGAAAACUGCAUAUAUAUUUAGUGAUAUGACAUCUAAUUUGUAAUAUAUAAAGUUGAUAACUUUUUAAAAUUAUCGAAGUUGAUAGCUUCUAAUCUAUCAAACCUUUUUAACUGGUCAA